ACAUGUGUGGGGGAUACUUUGUACUGCUCCUUACAGCAGGCAAAUCACUCUCGGUUCCUAAUUUCAGGAAUGUUCAGGAACAUUCUCAGGUGCAAAAGGACGGAGCUCUGAAGAGUUGGAUUGGCCUAACUGAUUGGCCCAAGACAUUACAGAGGCAGAAGCAGGCAGUGGAAUCACCAGCCCACGGUUACCUUGCUAUAGGGAGGACUUUCAAAGGGUUGGAACCCAAGCUCCGUGGUUUGGCUCCUUUGAAAGCCAGCCUUUCCCGGUUCUCCUGACCACGGGAGCAGGCCCACUAGUUCAACGGGGCCUCGUCUGCCAAGUCCGUGGCAUGCCCAGGGCUGCUGGGUGAGUUCAUGCUCCAUCCCGGAAGGGUCGGGGCCUCUGGGACGCAAUCAGAACUCCAGGAAACUCGGCGCAGGAAAGGCUACUUGGGGUUUGGCUCCUGGCCUGGCCAACCCCAGCCAGCCGGCCAUGCCCAGCCAACGGACUCCGUGGGCAGACUUUUCAGAGUUGUGCGGACAGCCCAGUAGCAGCGAUAUUGAAAACAUUGCCUUGGGGCGCCUGGGUGGCUCAGUCAAAUGUCUCUCUGUCAAAUAAAUAACAUAUUUAAAAAAC
rnacentral:lncRNA from 1 species